rnacentral:rRNA from 1 species
AAGGCUUCAGUACGACCCAGUCAGAACUAUAAGUCUCAAAGCCCCGACGAGUAGGGUGGCGUGCCGGUGCGCGUUGAAGGCCAAGACGUGAGUCAGGCUGGAGCCGCCGGUAGUGCAGAUCUUGGUGGUAGUAGCAAGUACUCUGGUGAACCAACCUGGAGCUGUGAGGUCUGGAUCAGGGUUCCAUGUCAACAGUGAUUGAACAUGGGUGAGUCGAUCCUAAGCCAACUGUGAAAGCAGUGACAUCCCGACAAAGGGACUGUUUCGUGCGCCGCACUUACACCCCCAACCGCAUACAUCUCUCUCUCGCACGGCCGUCUGUUAAGACGUAAAAGUGUCCUGGUACGGAAAAAGCGCACACACGGUGAUCACUACAAACGUGUGUGAGUGUGUGCGCGUGCUGCUUGUCUGGUUACGCUCAAAAGCGUUGUUUUGCUAUCUGGAAAGACGAGAGAGAGGGUGGGUGAGCGUGAGUUUGCUCUUGCAUGAGUCUCCUGCGUCUGGUUCUAUGUCUGGCGAAAGGGAAUGGGGACUUUGUUCCUUGACCGGUCCCGGCACCCUCGAUUGGCUUUGCCAAUUAAUGGUCCAUGCAAAUGGAACCAGGCCACAGCCGCCGGCAGUCGCCCGAGGAAGAGUUUUCUUUUCUGCUUAACGCACGAGGUCAUCCCUGGAAACAGUUCGGCUGGCGAAAGGGUGCCCCGUUGCGGCAGAGCGCCACGACUGUCGUGCGCGUCUCGGUGUUCCUGCCGGUCCGUGAAGACGUGGUCGAGGGGAUUGCUCUUGUAUCAACGAAACGCCCGACAAGUUCGGGACGGACCGUACCCUAUAUCCGCAUCUGGUCUCCAAGGUUCGUAGCCUCUGCAGAGUCAGACACAUGUAGGUAAGGGAAGUCGGCAAACUCGAUCCGUAACUUCGGGAAAAGGAUUGGCUCUGAGGGCCGAGCUGGGCCGGGCCUUGCCUGCAAAGCAGUACCUAUAGUGACCGGAGUUUCAGGAGUGCGAGGGGCUCUAGUAGCUGCUUGUGCGUGUGUGCGUUCGCGCGUGCGCGCGUGUGGGCACGAACGAGUCCACCGCUCCGCUCCAACCACGAACGGCUGUGACGGCAAGGGCUCUGGGCGGGAGCGAUCAACCCGUUGGCCCCCAGCUCGUCUGGGUGGCGGCGGUGCUCCGUCUGACCCAUACGGCUCCAGCGGCUAGCGGCUAACUCAGAACUGUCAUGGACCAAGGGAAUCCGACUGUCUAAUUAAAACAAAGCGUCGUGACGGCCCCUGUUGGGUGUUGACGCGACGUGAUUUCUGCCCAGUGCUCUAA